GGGCCAAUAGCUCAUUCGGUUAGAGCAACUGACUCAUAAUCAGUAGGUGCCUGGUUCGAUUCCAGGUUGGCCCACCA
rnacentral:tRNA from 1 species